GAUGAACGCUAGCGGGAGGCUUAACACAUGCAAGUCGAGGGGCAGCAUAGAGUAGCAAUACUUUGAUGGCGACCGGCGCACGGGUGAGUAACGCGUAUGUAACCUACACUGUAGAGGGGGAUAGCCUGGAGAAAUUCGGAUUAAUACGCCAUAAUGAUAUCGAGAGGAAUCUUUUGAUAUUUAAAGCUUCGUCGGUACGUGAUGGGCAUGCGUGACAUUAGAUAGUUGGUAAGGUAACGGCUUACCAAGGCUGCGAUGUCUAGGGGUCCUGAGAGGAUGAUCCCCCACACUGGUACUGAGACACGGACCAGACUCCUACGGGAGGCAGCAGUGAGGAAUAUUGGUCAAUGGGCGUAAGCCUUAACCAGCCAUCCCGCGUGAAGGAAGUAGGCGCUAUGCGUCGUAAACUUCUUUUCCAGAGGAAUAAAAUUUUGUACGCGUACAGAACUGAAGGUACUCUGGGAAUAAGCAUCGGCUAACUCCGUGCCAGCGGCCGCCGUAAUAC
rnacentral:rRNA from 1 species